ensembl:lncRNA
GCAGAAUCGGCUGUAGUGUGUGGUUUGAAUUUCGUCAGCAUUAUGGCCGUCAUUAUAACGUUGUGUUGUUUUUGGCAGCCAGACCGCACGCAUCCGUCAUAAAAUGACAUGCAUUUAUUGGUAUUUUGAUGGUGUCAUGAAGCUGGCUUUUCUUCUGAAUACUGGUCGGCCAGAGGAUGCUACUGAACUUUGUACUGCGUUGAGGGCAUGUCACAUCAAGUGGUGUCUGGGCUAGGUGAGUGUGGCAGUGUUAAUUGGCUGUCAGUGGUUAAACUGAGUUGUGAGAAAUGGUUAUAAAAGCAUGUUGUAAUUGAGCCCACCAGUCCAUGGACCAGAGUUAGUGAUGAGACAAAACUAAAUAACUUUUCUGACACCUCAUAUGAGGGCUGGCAACAGCCCCUGAUUCUAACUCUACUCUGAAGCUCUGAAUGGGACUGUUAUGUCUUAUUUUCUGGGAGGUUUGUGUGCUGUCAAUUGGUUCAAAUUGCAGUUUAUUCAAGAAAUUAGGCAUUGUGUAAUUUGCCUGCCAUGCCAAGGCCUGUACUUGUCACAAACACUUUUUUUUUUUUUUUAAUACUAGAAACUAGUUGGUGCGAUUGCCUUGGCAACAAAGCACAUGGGAUGUUUCUUUGGGCAGUAUUUGCCAGGUGCUCUGUGUUAAAUCUGUUCUCUUCUGCCAGGUUCUCAUGUGACCUGAGCCUACCACAGGACUCCUCCCACUCACUGCCCUCAGGUUUGUUGAGGAUUUCAGUGAAGAGAAGAUGAAGUCUCUGAGACUGAUUCACCCAGAGUGGUGACUUCAUCAGGCUGCAUGUCCAUGACCAGACUGGUUGAUGGUUGCAGGGAGAUGGCCUCACCGUUAGCACUGCAGAUUCUUGCCUGCUCCCUAAACAUCAGGUGUCCAGUGUCGUACUUUUCCUUACAUUCUAUUCAACACGAAAGGACUUCACUUAAUUGACAUCAGCUGUAUGGUUUCUCCAGUGUGAAUCAUCUGAUAAAAAGAUUUUCCAUCGAGUGGUUCCUUUUUAAUUUGCUGUUGUAACUUUUACCACUUAUAGUUCUCAUCCCCAAUGCCACUCAUUUAAGCUGGUUCCAUUAAACAUGGCCAUUACUUAAAUUAUAUCCAGAGGUCCCCAGGUCUCAAUUCCAAUUGAGCUCAUUUAGAUUGUGGAGGAACGGGAGGUCUGCAACAAAUGUGUAAAUCUUCAAGAAACUGUGAUUCAUUGUGUUAGCUUGGGCUAAAAUCUAUACACGUUUCCACCUUGUUACUCCUGUUCAUUCAGGUCUAAACUGGUGGAUUUUUAUGCAGGCAUGUUCAGAUUUUUACUUAAUUCCAUUUCGAUUUGUCCAAUUUCCCACUAACCUUCCCUGACAGUGCAGCUGGUGGCAGCAGUAAGGCCUCUCUCCUGUGUGAACUCUCUGAUUUAUGGUUAUGCUUUUAGUUCUGGUAUCAUGCACAGCCUUAAUGUGUCACGGUUGUAUUCUCAUCACCUCUCCCUGGCAACAGGGACCUAAUGGUUCUACUUCACUUGUGAUUUUGAAAGUUCAAUAAAGUUGAGUCAAUUUUCUCAUUUGAUCUUAUUCUGUAAUGAAAUACUAAACGUGUGAAUUAAAAUCUUCCAAUGUC